rnacentral:rRNA from 1 species
UACGAAGGGGGCUAGCGUUGUUCGGAAUCACUGGGCGUAAAGCGCACGUAGGCGGAUUGUUAAGUCGGGGGUGAAAUCCUGAGGCUCAACCUCAGAACUGCCUUCGAUACUGGCAAUCUCGAGUCCGGAAGAGGUUGGUGGAACAGCUAGUGUAGAGGUGAAAUUCGUAGAUAUUCGCAAGAACACCAGUGGCGAAGGCGGCUCACUGGCCCGAUACUGACGCUGAGGCACGAAAGCGUGGGGAGCAAACAGG